rnacentral:rRNA from 1 species
UACGGGGGGGCAAGCGUUGUUCGGAAUUACUGGGCGUAAAGGGCUCGUAGGUGGCCAACUAAGUCAGACGUGAAAUCCCCAGGCUUAACCUGGGAACUGCGUCUGAUACUGGAUGGCUUGAAUUCGGGAGAGGGAUGCAGAAUUCCACGUGUAGCGGUGAAAUGCGUAGAGAUGUGGAGGAACACCAGUGGCGAAGGCGGCUUUCUGGUCUGUAACUGACGCUGAGGCGCAAAAGCGUGGGGAGCAAACGAGG